CCUCUAAAUCCCCUCUUAUAAAAAACUCUCUUAGUCAUGAAUAAUAAUUAAAAAUUUGUGAGUAUCUUUCUUGAACAAAAUUUUAUUAUUCCUGUAAUAAUCUCUUAUAUUUUAUAAAAAAGAAUAAUCUCCCCUUUCAUAUCACCCUUACGCCGAAGAGUAGAAAAUGAACUUAGGCUAUGCUGAGUUAUGCUGAAGGAACGUCAGAGAAGUUACCUGUUUUCAGAUUGGGACUGUGAUGUCCGGUAAAAGUCUCGAUGGAUACCCGAUGUAAUUUUGGUCAAAACGGAAUAGUCAUAUUUGCUGAAAAAGAAUGCAACAACUAUAGUUGCUCUCAGUACUUUUUGGCAACAUGGUUAAUGGGAAUUAAGGGAGAAAACACUAGUAAUUGCAGAACUCACAAAGCAUAAUUAUUAAUAUUCAAGGUAAUUCACGAAUUCAAUUUGCGACUUUUAAUAUUCUUUUCGAGAUAUGGUUACCGAGAGUUGAGAUUUAUAAUAAAAUAUUUUGCUAGUAAAAUUAUUAUUAUUAUUAUUAUUAUUAUUAUUAUUGUUGUUGUUGUUGUUGUUGUUGUUGUUGUUGCUGUCACUGUUGCUGUUGUUGUUGCUAGUGUUGUCGCUGUUGUUGUUGCUGUUGAAUGAAUAUACAAGAUUUACAUAGUCUAACUUCAGUAAGUUUGAUAUUGAGAAAAAAUAUUUCUUCUCGAAAAAUAUUCUUUUUUCCCCUUGUUAAAUCAACUGUAUCUCUCUCUAAAACCCUAAGAAAAAGAAGAGAUCCCUACCAAAUGGUGAAGCCAGUCAACGACUAUCUACCUUAGUGGAUGGUCUUUCAAUUACAGAGUUUCCAUCACUAAACACCUCUUAUAGUACUGAUCCCACACAAUUAUAAACCCUUAUGUACCUAUAGAGAAGUCUUAUGCAAAUUCUCUCAAUCAAACAAAGCAACAAACAAAUGAAGCAUUGCGCAAAGAAGUUUCAGUAGUUGGAGACAUACUGCAAGUAAAAUGGUAUGACGAAGAGGUAGAAAGGAUUAAUCAAAUUGAAGAUCUAUGAUUUGUAGUAAUCAAAAAGUUUACAUCUGAGUGGUCUGACCUGGAGAAGUUGAGGAGAAUUAUUCCUCAAUAAUACAAUAAGGGAGGAAGUCAGAUUGGAUUAUUCCGUAACAAACAUGUUCUUAUUUGUCUGACUCAGCAGGUUGAUUUUAGUAAUAUGGUAUCAAAGGGAGCCUUUUACAUCACAUGCCGAGAUGGAUAUUCAUAUCUUAUGCGCACACUAAUCUAUGACUCUAAAUUUAAGAUUAAUGAGGAAACAUC